GCAAAAGCUGUGAAAGGAAGAAGUAGGUCAGUUUUAGUCAUUCAGAGAGCAUCCGGUUGGUGAGAGGCUGCAGACACACUGAUUCGAAUACAUCCUGGAGCCGCCGCCUGAAUUGAUAGUAGGGUUUGACGGGUACGCCCGAUACAGCGUGGGAGUGUGUUUGCACUUGUUGAGGGGAAUUCUGUGAGGAAUUUCCGAGUCAGAGGUGGUACCGCAAUUUUUGCCCUCUGU
rnacentral:ncRNA from 1 species